UACGAAGGGGGCUAGCGUUGCUCGGAAUCACUGGGAGUAAAGGGUGCGUAGGCGGGUCUUUAAGUCAGGGGUGAAAUCCUGGAGCUCAACUCCAGAACUGCCUUUGAUACUGAAGAUCUUGAGUUCGGGAGAGGUGAGUGGAACUGCGAGUGUAGAGGUGAAAUUCGUAGAUAUUCGCAAGAACACCAGUGGCGAAGGCGGCUCACUGGCCCGAUACUGACGCUGAGGCACGAAAGCGUGGGGAGCAAACAGG
rnacentral:rRNA from 1 species